rnacentral:tRNA from 1 species
UGCGGGCUGGUGCAAUCGGCAGCACGACCGGCUCUGGACCGGUUGAUGGAGGUUCGAGUCCUCCGCCCGCAG